AGCGCGUGGUCUAAUGGUUAUGAUUUCUCGUUCACAAUACUGAAUGUUUCCCGAGAAGGUUCGGAGUUCGAUCCUCCGCGCGACUA
rnacentral:tRNA from 1 species